rnacentral:rRNA from 1 species
UACGAAGGGGGCUAGCGUUGUUCGGAAUUACUGGGCGUAAAGGGCGCGUAGGCGGCUUGGCAAGUCGGAUGUGAAAUCCCUCGGCUCAACCAAGGAAGUGCAUCCGAAACUGCUGAGCUUGAGUACUUAAGAGGAUCGCGGAAUUCCCGGUGUAGAGGUGAAAUUCGUAGAUAUCGGGAGGAACACCAGUGGCGAAGGCGGCGAUCUGGGAAGAUACUGACGCUGAGGUGCGAAAGCGUGGGGAGCAAACAGG